AUUACUUGAGGUUCGGAAAUGGCUCCCGACACGCUACGAAAGUAGUUACAAGGUAUGCAGGAUACGCCGCCCUGCCAACUAAU
rnacentral:ncRNA from 1 species